GAGCAGCUCUCCUCCUGAGUCCCCAUCCCAGCUAAGACACAGAGACGGAGAAGGACGGGAGAAGUCGACAGUCCUGCCUCACCAGUGCAUCCCAGCAGCUUCUCAAAGUUAGAACCAAGAAGUCCGCUUUGAGGGUCAAGAGGAUAUGAUGUGCCGUGAAGAGUGUUCAUUGUGACUGGACCUGAGAAACCUGUCAGAGGACUCACUGUCCCGAACACACAGGAUCCUUCCGGAGUUGACGCGGGGACCUGCAACACCGGGAGCCUGAACACUGACACAAGGAGUUGUGUCAGAUAACAGAGAGUGCAGACAAAAGGCAGGAACAUAACUGCACAUCCCGCAUGUGAACCAGAAUCCUCGUGCAUCAAACUUUCUUCUAUUUCACUCAAAUCUUUUCUGAUAUUUUUCCUCUUUAACGAGACCCUGCCCAAGUCAAAGAAUCACC